UUUUUAAAAAAAAUUAAAGCAUUAUUUAAUACAUGUGCACAGGACUCGAAAUUAACAUAUGUCUGUCAGUCCGUGACUGGUUAAAUGUCUGGCAGACUGACAGACAUUGGUUUUAGUCAGUACAAUGAGACUGGUCAAUUUUUCUAAAACGUCAUUCUGGAAAAUAUACUUAUGAAUCUUAAAUGCACAUUUGGCAUUCCUCUGUAAAUAUUAGGUGAACCCGUUUAGUAAAUAUAAAUCUCGCACAAGUAUUACAAUAUUGUCAGAGGCAUAUCGAGUCAAAUUACAUAUUUCAUUUUGAUAACAUUAACGAAAUAUGUUAAAUUAUUUCUGGAAAACUCUGAUGGACUGGUAAAUUUUUCUGCGGACUGGUUGAAUUUAUACCCCAUCAGUCCGACUGGAUUGGUGACAUAAAAAGUUAGUCUCAAGCCCUGCAUGUGCAUAUACCAUCAUAUAUCACCAAGUCUGUAAUUUAGAUGGAUGCUAGGCACAGCCAGCCAACAGUGUUAUCAAACAUGAUUGGAUGAAGUUUAAAAACUGAACAUUGUUUAUUCCCAAAUUAGAUUGUAAACUAACACAGGAGUUCCGGGGACUUUGAUGGGCCCCCAUCAGGACAAACUGGGGACUUUGAUGGGCCCCCAUCAGGACAAACUGGGGACUUUGAUGGGCCCCCAUCAGGACAAACCGGGGACUUUGAUGGGCCCCCAUCAGGACAAACUGGGGACUUAAAAGUGACCCACAGUUACCACUUAUCUCUCAAUUUCUUUUUUAAAUAAAUAGAAUGCAAUGGAAAGACAUACCCCAGAUCUAUGUCACAUGGUGAUAGCAACAUUAUUUGCAGGACUGGUUAUACUUACACGUGCGCAUGCACGCACACCCACUCAUCUGCAGCUGUAGCACAUAUUCAAACCAAAAUAACUUGUUUCUAUCCAUUCAUUUCGGAAACUUAUAAUGAGUUGCUUCUAUAUUUCACACAAUGCGGUUCCUGGGAGUAUACUUGUAAUUAAAAAUCUUCAAUAAAAUUGUAAAUUCAUAAUAUCUAUACUCCUAAACUAACAAUUUUGGCCAAUAAACUCCAAAAUGCUUGCUCCAGAGUUACUGCUUGCACUUUUAAUAUUGUUUCAUAUGUGAGGUGGAGUUCAUAAGCUAUAAUAGAAUCUUACUUGAUUAGUAAAUAUUGUAAAAUUGAUUAAAAACCUAUUUUUGUUUUCGAUAAACUACCCUGAAAUGGCAAAAAUGAAAGUAAAGUGGUGGAUCUAAGCCAUUUUUUAUGACAACUUAGGAUAAUAAGCUUUGAAUUCAUGUAAAUUUCUACUUUCCUGGCCCAGUGGUUCUUGUGAAAGAUUUUCCUUAUAUAUAUUAUCAUUUGCAUAUAAAACUUUCGGAAGGUCGGUGGUCUCUUCCCAGAUACAUAGUAUCUGGGUUCUCUCUUCCACCAAUAAAAACUAGGUGCCACCAGAUAACUGAAAAAUUGUUGAGUGUGGCGGAAAACAUCAAUCAAUCAAUCAAAUAAAACUUUGAUCCCCUAUUGUGGCCCAUCCUACUCCAGGGUCCAUGAUUUUAACAAGCUUAAUCCGCACUAUGUCAGGAAGCUUUCAUGUAAAUCUCAGCUUUUCUGGAGCAGUGGUUCUUGAGAAGGAGAAUUUUAAAUGACCCCACCCUAUUUUUUCAUUUUUGUGAUUAUCUCCCCUUUGAAAGGGGCAUGGCCCUUCAUAUGAAGAAACUUAAAAGCCCUUAACCCAAGAAUGCUUUUUACCAAGUUUGGUUGAAAUGGCACAGUCGUUUUGUAGAGGAUGUCGAAAAUGUAAAAAGUUUACAGAUGGACAACAAGCGAUCAGAAAAGCUUUGAGGUUAAAAAGUGUGAGCUAAAAACAAAACAGACUUCAAACAAAAAAUUUGAUCUUAUGGGCAAAAAUUGUGGGUAAUAAUACUAUUUAUACCAACAAUUUCUUUCGUACUGUGCAACUUUACAAGUCUAGUUUAACUUGUAUCUAUACAACAUGUAAAAUGCAGCUUUAUACUCUCAACAUACUCAAGUAGUGAAGUAAGGUAGGCAUACCAAGAAGGAAGGAAAGGCACAUGGUUACUUCAUAAGGGGGUACUAUCAUGCUUAGUAAGACUGUAGUGGAUCCUUGACAAAUACUUACAUCAUUUUGGUGGCGGAAAUUUUUGUAACGGUUGUAAAAUUGUGAUUUUCUAUUUUAAUGACAGAAAAAACAAGGUUUAUAAACUCUUCUUGCUAUUAAUAUUUGAAAUAGAAAACCUACAUCCAGAGGCUCUACAUGAAGCAAAAUUACAUUAUUGUCUACCCUUACAAAAAUUGAUAUCUAUAUAAUGCUAUAUAUUCAAUAAAACCAAAAUCUUUAAUUUGAUAAAAUCUUCAACUUACAGUUUUAAUUUUAUUAAUGAUUGUGGUUAAAGUUAUGCAUACAAAACUAUCAUGACACAUUUUUACAACAAAAUAAAAUUUUCAAAUUUAGAGCUAAUAUUGCUUUAAAAAUGUGGAAACAUAUAUAUUUCUUCAGUGGAAAUAGUUAAUCUGCAUUGAACCAUUAAUAUUGAUAAGUCACAAUGGGGUAGAGCUACCUUAAAAAGAUAUAAUGCAAUACAAUAACACUGUGUUACCAGAUGUUCGAUUUACUAGGUUGCCAGACUUGUAAUGAAGUUAAAAAAAAAGAAACUAUAAGAAGGAAAAUCUGAAGAGCUCAGUGUAAGACAAAUGAAAAGUCAAGUGUCUACUGAAUGAAUCAUGUGAUGCGUUUUAUUGUUUACGUUUUUAAGAAAGCCACACUAGUCAAAUGUGAAAAUUAAUUGCAGGAAUUAAAUUUCGAUAUUGUAAACAAAAUAUAUUUUUAUAAGAAUUUGAUAUAUGUAUAAUGCUAAAUACCAUAUAUACUCGCUUAUAAGUCAGAUUUUUUGGAGUUAAAUUUUGGUCCAAAACUCUAUGUCCGACAUUAUAGGAGUGUCCUCUUAGAAGAUUAGUAUUUUUCUGGACAGCGAAAUGCAUAGCCUAGUAUUUUUAAACAACAAAAACAUGGACGAAAUAAACAAAAUAGUAACUGUUUGAUUUGUUGAGAAUAAAAAAUGAAAUAUCGAUGUCAUAUCCCAAAAUAUUAUUGGAACACAGAUAAAUACAUAAGGGUAUUGAUAUGAAAUUGAUUUGUCGAGGAAAAAAAUACCAAAUAUCGGCGCAUUUCUCAAAAUAUUAUUUGAAACAGGUAAAAACAUUAGAGCACUGAUUUGAAAUUAUCAACCGAUUUUGGAAAAACGUUAGACCGACUCAUAAAUGGGUCAAUGGCAAUUUCCUCCAAAAUAAUAUAAAACUAUACAACCGACAUAUAAGCGAACUGACUUAUAGGCGAGUAUGUACAGUAAAUUAUAUGGAAUGAUAUAUGCAGGUUUUGUUUAUGUGUGUGUUGGGAAGGGGGAGGAGGUGAGGAAAUUUUUUUGUUUUAUAUUUUAAUUUAUUCAUGUAGACCUGUUUAAAAAUCACAUAGACUAAUGAAAAUCAAUAGUUACUUCCCCUUUCGGUGACAUCAUCAGAGACAAUCAACAUCAGAAAACGCUUUGUAAAUAAUAAUAACAUGGUUUUCGUGUUCGAUGGCACAUUCUAUUGACAGUGAUGGUGACCUAUUACCAGAGAUUGACCUUUCUAUAAAGAAAGCCCAGUUUACUAGAAUGCCUUUUGGUCUCGUCACAGCUCCAGCGACAUUCUGUAGACUGAUGCGAUUGGUACUUCAUGACAUGUCUGAAGUAGAUAACUUUAUUGAUGAUAUUUUGAUCUAUUCUAUGAAUUUUGAAGAACAUAAUUCCAUGCUUACUGAAGUGUUACAGAGACUUAGAAGUGCCAAAUUAACAGCCAAACCAAGUAAGCGUGCCAUUGCGUACAAUCAGUUAGAGUGUUUGGGACAUAUCGUAGGACAAGAGUCAAUUCAACUUCAUCCAGAUAAGGUAAGGGCAGUGCAAGAAGCAAACCGUCCUACUACAAAGAAACAAUUGCAUUCUUUUCUGGGCUUGGUAAAUUUUCAUAGAAAGUUUAUCCCAAACUGUGCUCAUAUCUCUUUGCCAUCGACGGAUUUGACCAGGAAGUUUGCUCCUAGCAAGAUCCAGUGGACGGAGUCUCAGGAACUUGCAUUUCAAGGUAAAGUUAAUGAUGUUCACCAGGUCUAAAUUUAGAUACCUGUGUAUGAGUUCACCAUGUUCACUUCUGAGGUCCAAGUUACAAGUAGAUCAAAUACAGGAAAUAUUGCCAUUCGCACGUAAUACCUCUGCCCGCCAAAGUUUGGGAAGAAGAGCAUAUGUGGAAGCAGAAACCAACUUUAAUUAUCUAAUGAACUGUAGUAAACAAAAAUGUAAUCUGUAAAAGUGGAGAAAUAUAUAUAUAUUGCAAA